rnacentral:lncRNA from 1 species
AACUGUGUUUUUUUUUUUUUCAGAGGUGGAAAAGUACAAGAAGAAUUCAGAUUCCCUCUAAUGGACACUCAAACUGAGAGGUGUGGAACCAUGUUUUGAGGAUUGCUCCAGUGGCCUAAAAGGCAAGAGGAGCUGAAACCUCUGGGACUCCUGCUCAUUCACAGCCUUUCCUUCUAGUGAACAUGCCUGUUGGACUGGAGGAAUGCAGAGACCAGGCAGAAGAAGCAACUUCAGAGGAACAGCUGAUGGUUUGGGCAAGGAGUCCCAGUGACUGGAUGUUAAAGGCAGUUUGCUUUGAAAUGGGAGGGACAAAUUCACAGCCAGGCCCAAGAAAGCUGCCUUUCACCUACAAAACGUGCCAAAAAGAUUUCCAAAGAGGCUAAAUAUUUUCACCCCUGUAAAUGAGGCUGACAGAGACCUAGCCAAGUGAAGUGAUUUGUGCUGGAAAGAAAACACACUCUUCCUGAUGUUUAUGCAGUUACCAUCACCUCCAGCUCGUUGUGAAUUGCAGCUCAGCUCCUAAGUGGAAUAAAGUGGAUGAAGCUCAGCA